rnacentral:piRNA from 1 species
UGGGGACUAGCUUUCAUAAUACUGUAAGA